UGAGCAAUCUGCCCUUCUCAUCGGAAUAAGCGUUGGAAACGACGUCUAAUGCCGAAUACGACCUCCUUUCGCAUGAUCGGAGGUGGAAAGCUCCGGCGGAGAAGGAUGAGCUCGCGGCCUAUCAGCUAGUUGGUGUGGGUAACGCCCACAAGGCGACGACGGGUAGCCGGCCUGGAGAGGGUGACCGGCCACACUGGGACUGAGACACGGCCCAGACUCCUACGGGAGGCAGCG
rnacentral:rRNA from 1 species